UGGGGAAUAUUGGACAAUGGGCGAAAGCCUGAUCCAGCCAUGCCGCGUGUGUGAAGAAGGUCUUCGGAUUGUAAAGCACUUUAAGUUGGGAGGAAGGGCAGUAAGCGAAUACCUUGCUGUUUUGACGUUACCGACAGAAUAAGCACCGGCUAACUCUGUGCCAGCAGCCGCGGUAAUACAGAGGGUGCAAGCGUUAAUCGGAAUUACUGGGCGUAAAGCGCGCGUAGGUGGUUCGUUAAGUUGAAUGUGAAAGCCCCGGGCUCAACCUGGGAACUGCAUCCAAAACUGGCGAGCUAGAGUAGGGCAGAGGGUGGUGGAAUUUCCUGUGUAGCGGUGAAAUGCGUAGAUAAAGGAAGGAACACCAGUGGCGAAGGCGACCACCUGGGCUCAUACUGACACUGAGGUGCGAAAGCGUGGGGAGCAAACAGG
rnacentral:rRNA from 1 species